rnacentral:pre_miRNA from 1 species
UUUAAGCCCAUCCAUAAGUUUACGUAUGCAAUAUUGAUGUCCAUCUUAUUUAAAAAAAUAGAUUAGUAUUUCUGUUGUUAUUAUAUAAUAAAACAUAAAUAUUACCUUACGUGUGAUUUAUGUUUUUAAUUUUUUUUAAAUGGAUGAUCAAAGUUGGACAUAAAAACUUAUGGUUGCGCUUAAA